GACUAAGGAGAACUCAGCAGAGGGGAAGUAAGAGUUUGAAGGCCAGAGACGCUCAGCAUCUCCUACCUGAGUCAUGCCAUGGUCUGUAAAGAAGUAGACUGACAUUUUGGUGUGGAUUGCAUUGAACCUGUAGAUUGAUUGAUUUUGGAAACAGAACAAGUCAUUUCACCCAUGGGACAACUUAAGGCAGUGAAUAUAGGUCAGGCAUAGAGGAAGUGCUUAAAGAUAAUGCCUCUGAAUGAAAUGGAUAUCUUCAUGAGAAUACAUCAGAUUACAGAAAAUAUAAUCAAGGAGAAAAAAUAUGAAUUUGCUGCAAGUGUCCUGAGAGAUAAUACAAGAAGUGAAAGGUGAAUUGAAGGUAGCACCUCAUGAUGCAACUUCCAUGUGAUCAUCACCCGAAGAAGAUGACACAGAUAUUUGGGGAUUACACAUACUCCUAUAAGUAACCUCUCAGCUGUGUUAUGUAAUCAACCUCAUAAACUCACUUAUGUCAUCAAGUGACAUAAAAGUGGAUUGAUGAAAUCA